UUGGGACCCAAACCCAUGGUCAAGUAGGAAAGAGCUCGAUCAUCUUCUUCAACAAUGAGCACAUCAUCUUCAGUGUACUGAUCUCGAGGCUUCUUUAUUUUGACAUCUGGUUCUGUGGGGCUUUCCAUCAUAAUCUCCCUAGGUCCUCUCAAGAUGCUGCGCCAUAACUUGUAAUCCUUAACCUUCAGGUGCUGUUCAAAGCGCCACUUCCACUCGGGAAAGUCAUUAGCAUCAGUUAACCUUGGAAUGCGUGUUGUAGUUCCAAGCUUUGAGUCCAAUUCUUGUUGUUGAUUAAGGGCAGACAGUUCACUGUUGUUCGAUGACAUGAUUAAUUAAUCAGUUAAUUAAUUAAUUAAUUUUAUUAAGUCCAAAAGUCAACAGUCCAACAGUCCGUAAAACAAUGUUGUUGCGAGUCGUAACAGCUGAGGUUGCGAGUCGUAACGAAAACAGAAUGAGCCGAAAUCAAGGUUGCGAGUCGUAAUAGCUUU
rnacentral:lncRNA from 1 species